UUUUGUAUGUCAGUAGAUUUUCUAUUUGUUUUACUCAGUUUUUUUGAUUCGAAAAAAAUUUACAUUUAUUAUUUGUUGUUCAAUUUUCAUUACAAAAUUGCGAUUUAAUUUACUUAAGGCCUUUACAGCAAGAAUCCAUGGGCGGCUAGCACCCCAGACAUAGUAAGAAAAAUUCUCAGCAGCAUCCUGGUUUGGGAAGAGGACGAACUAGCUAGCAAUAAGGAGAAGAAGGCGAACCGAACUUCGCAGAGUGUAUAUCCACAAAUAAUUCGAAUUGCUGGUGGUCAUUUCCCAGACCGAAGUAUGCUCUCACAAACAAUUCUUUGGCCAGAAGGAAUAACAACACUGAAGCUGUUGGAUCUGAAUGGGGCUUUGGUGGAGCACACUAUAUAUUCACUACAGCAUCUAGAAGAAGAGAAGAGUGGUCGAAAUUUUGUUGGCGCAUUUUCUGUCUGUUGAAUGGGCGGGAAAUCGCUUGUGCACUCGAUGAUUCUUUUUCGUUCACUGGGAAAGAAAGAAGAAUGGACGCAGGAUAUGGCCAAACGUGUAGCCCAAGGAUAUGAUUUUAAACUUUUGCAGAUAAGAAGAAUGGGACGACACUUGUAAAGUUUUGGCGUUGUGUAAACUUCUGCAUUGACUUCUUCCACCCGACUAAAAAAAUUAAAGAAAAAAAGAAAUAGAAAAAAAAACCUUUUAAGGGAGGCAAGUGCAGUAGCGUGAUGUUGUUGUUUGUUCGACCGAAUUGUCCGACGAAAUCAAUACGGAGCCAUUUUUGUUGUAUCCAGAGCACAUAUCGGCCAUAUGUGAGUUAAAAAGGGACUUUUGGGGUUGUAUACAAUUGUGUACCGUUUUCGAACAAAAA